rnacentral:rRNA from 1 species
GAGUUUGAUCCUGGCUCAGAACGAACGCUGGCGGCAUGCCUAACACAUGCAAGUCGAACGAGACCUUCGGGUCUAGUGGCGCACGGGUGCGUAACGCGUGGGAAUCUGCCCAAAGGUACGGAAUAACUCAGGGAAACUUGUGCUAAUACCGUAUGAAGCCGCAAGGCCAAAGAUUUAUCGCCUUUGGAUGAGCCCGCGUAGGAUUAGCUAGUUGGUGGGGUAAAGGCCUACCAAGGCUACGAUCCUUAGCUGGUCUGAGAGGAUGAUCAGCCACACUGGGACUGAGACACGGCCCAGACUCCUACGGGAGGCAGCAGUGGGGAAUAUUGGACAAUGGGCGGAAGCCUGAUCCAGCAAUGCCGCGUGAGUGAAGAAGGCCUUAGGGUUGUAAAGCUCUUUUACCCGGGAAGAUAAUGACUGUACCGGGAGAAUAAGCCCCGGCUAACUCCGUGCCAGCAGCCGCGGUAAUACGGAGGGGGCUAGCGUUGUUCGGAAUUACUGGGCGUAAAGCGCACGUAGGCGGCUCGUUAAGUCAGAGGUGAAAGCCCGGAGCUCAACUCCGGAAUUGCCUUUGAAACUGGCGAGCUUGAACAUCGGAGAGGCAAGUGGAAU